rnacentral:rRNA from 1 species
AUUGAACGCUGGCGGCAGGCCUAACACAUGCACGUCGAACGAGUGGCGGACGGGUGAGUAAUGUCUGGGAAACUGCCUGAUGGAGGGGGAUAACUACUGGAAACGGUAGCUAAUACCGCAUACCAUCAGAUUUUCCCAGAUGGGAUUAGCUAGUUGGUGGGGUAACGGCUCACCAAGGCGACGAUCCCUAGCUGGUCUGAGAGGAUGAGAAGCAACACUGGAACUGAGACACGGUCCAGACUCCUACGGGAGGCAGCAGUGGGGAAUAUUGCACAAUGGGCGCAAGCCUGAUGCAGCCAUGCCGCGUGUAUGAAGAAGGCCUUCGGGUUGUAAAGUACUUUCAGCGGGGAGGCGUUACCCGCAGAAGAAGCACCGGCUAACUCCGUGCCAGCAGCCGCGGUAAUAC